rnacentral:rRNA from 1 species
UACAGAGGUCUCAAGCGUUGUUCGGAUUCAUUGGGCGUACAGGGCGCGUAGGCGGCGCGGUAAGUCGGGUGUGAAAUCUUGGAGCUUAACUCCGAAACUGCAUUCGAUACUGCCGUGCUUGAGGACUGGAGAGGAGACUGGAAUUUACGGUGUAGCGGUGAAAUGCGUAGAUAUCGUAAGGAAGACCAGUGGCGAAGGCGGGUCUCUGGACAGUUCCUGACGCUGAGGCACGAAGGCCAGGGGAGCAAACGGG